AUUGAACGCUGGCGGCAGGCUUAACCCAUGCAAGUCGUGCGAGCGGCGGACGGGUGAGUAAGGUAUGGGGAUCUGCCUGACGGCGGGGGAUAACUACUGGAACCGGUAGCUAAUACCGCAUAUCAUCAGAUGUAUCCAUAUGGGUUUAGCUAGGAGGUGCGGUAUCGGCUUACCUUGGCGACGAUCCCUAGCUGGUCUGAGAGGAUGACCAGCCACACUGGGACUGAGACACGGCCCAGACUCCUACGGGCGGCAGCAGUGGGGAAUAUUGCGCAAUGGGCACAAGCCGGAUGCAGCCAUGCCGCGUGUAUGAAGAAGGCCUUCGGGUUGUAGAGUACUUUCAGUCGGGUGGCGUUACCGACAGGAAAGGGACCGGCUCACUCCGUGCCAGCAGCCGCGGUAAUAC
rnacentral:rRNA from 1 species